rnacentral:rRNA from 1 species
CCCCUAGAUGUUCUGGGCCGCACGCGCGCUACACUGAACAGUUCAACAAGUCUUAACCUUGGCCGAUAGGUCUGGGUAAUCUUUGAACGCUGUUCGUGAUUGGGAUAGACCUUUGCAAUUAUGGGUCUUCAACGAGGAAUCCCUAGUAAACGCAAGUCAUCAGCUUGCAUUGAUUACGUCCCUGCCCCUUGUACACACCGCCCGUCGCACCUACCGAUUGAAUGGUCCGGUGAAAUCUCGGGACGGCGGCUUGGUCGCUUGCGUCCGACUGCUGAAACUUGAUUAAACCAUAUCAUUUAGAGGAAGGUGAAGUCGUAACA